UAUUAUUACUAUUGAUAUAAUAUGUUGUAUAUGUAGCCUACAUUGCGUGUUUGCAUAAAAGAGCAGGUUAAUCCUUUUUUGAACAGGUUUGUUGAAAAAUCCUUCUCGAAAGAAUCGUAUUUCCAAAGUACUGUCAACUGACCACAUCUUCUUCCGCUUGUCAAAAUAGUUCUGCUCAGUUUGGUGUUUUAUUACGGAUUUAUUCUCAUAGUACCGUUUCAUAAUUUGAUAUAAUAAUAUAAUAAUAUGCUGAUAUUAAAAUUAAAAAAAAUAAAAAAUGUAAUAUUCGAACUGAAGGAAUUCCCGCCCUAGCGCAAGGACACAUUCUCCUCCAAGCACGCAGUGGAGCUGCUGCGCGCGCAGAAGGAAUAACUCGACCUUCAGUUUCACGGUCAAUCUUCAAUCUGAGGCGAAAAUAAGCAGAUAAGUUCAGUGAGUGCUAAAACCAUGGUCAACAUGAAAGGUCAUAGUUAACGACCACAUCACCAUCUUCUGCAACGCUCUGAUGUUUGCUUCAUACAACUGCUUGAACAUUUCAUACCCAGGAAACCAAGGAGAAACGCAAGAGAUUGUGCAAAGAUUCCUUUUUAAGAUGAACCCCGAGAAGGGAUCGAAAGUGGAGAAGACCACAUCGAGAAAGAAAUCAGCAGUCAGUCCAAAGGUUCUUUCACUGAUUAACAAGAUUGCGGACUUUGAAAGGAUGGAGUAAAACUUGGAGUGUCAGAUCUUCCUACAUUGCCUAGCAGAAAUUCUUGACAGUGUCAAAGACUUAAAAUACUUGCUGAUUAUUUGCUUUCAUGGUUGAUUUUUUUUUUUUUUAAUGCAUCAUCUGUUGUCAAGAUGAAUUAAUCUGUUCACAGGUGGUUCAGUUUUAAGGACAAAUUAAUUCUUAUUUUUUAUUUGUUUACCAAUUUGCUAUAUUGUUGCAGUUUUGAACAAUUCUUUUGUGUGUUGUUGCAGUUAUUAAAUAUAUAUAUAUAUAUAUAUAUACUGUUGCAGUUAUGAAAAAAAACUGAAUUGUAUGUGGUUGCAGUUGUGAUCUAAUUUAAACUUUUGGGCUUAUUUUUUUAUUGGAAUAUUGUUGCAGUUUAGCUAUAAUCUCUAUACUGGUAUAUUGUUGCAGUUUUGUACAAAGAAUAUUAGUAAAUUGCAGUCCUGAACAAACUAUUUGUAUAUUCUUGCAGAUUGGUCAAUAAAUUAUUAAAACACA